AUUUACAUAUUCUAGUGGUAAAACAACCGAACCGGCAAUCGGGAGACACGGGUUGGAUUCCCGUUGGGAAUC
rnacentral:tRNA from 1 species